CUCUUGUGUCAGACGGAAAUAUUCAGGGAAAUGUUUCAGAUUUUCAGAGAGGUGAAAUUUAACAAUCCUUCCUUUGUUCCUGUGCCUGAGGUCAUAUGGAAAGUCUGCAGCACAGCCAUGCUUUCAAUGUUUAACUGUUUUCCCUACACCUCUUCUGCAGCUCUUUGAAUGUGCUCAGAGUCUUCUUCAGGCUGGGAGUCCAAACUCAAUUUGACUGCUGCUGACUCAUUGCCUGAGCAGCUCUUUCAUCUCCCUGUGUCUGCCCCCCCAGAUCCUACUUUGCUGCUACCCCUCUGUAU